rnacentral:pre_miRNA from 3 species
GGUAAGUGCGUCUCGGGUGAGCAUGCGAUUAACUGUAGUAGUAUGUCACUCGGCCCACUACC